rnacentral:misc_RNA from 1 species
GGCAGGUAUGGUAUCAUAUUUCAGUGGCCAUAUUCUAUUAUUAGAAAUAGUUUGCUGCUUGUCUAAGUUGGUAAGAUGGAAAUAAUCAAAUAAAAAUAAAGUUAAUUUGGUAUGCCCCUUUUUUUCUUUUUUAUUUCACUGGUUUUGUGUUGAUUGUGCUGUGAUCGAAUUCAUGGCCUCACAAAAAGGAGAAAAGUGCUUAUCUUCAGUAUUGUUGAAAAUCUAAUUUAGUUUGGCACUUUCUGUUCUGUUUCCAAACUGUCAUUUUGGCUGUAAAUAUGUUAUACUUGUUUUGCAGCAAGGAUAAUGCUAGCAAAGGAGAUUCAUUUAGUAGUUUUAACCAUAGCAUAUGUCCAAGUUUUUGCUCAUAUAUCUCUAUUCUCUGGUAUGACCAUUGGGUAUGUUUUGGGUCAGUUCCUCAACAUGAUAGACUAAUAAGAAAUAUUAGUCUUUAAUUAGCUUGAACUUGCUCUUGCUGAUUUUCCUAUAUAAUGUAGUUGUGUUCUUAUGAACAUUCAUACAACUACUUGAUGUGUUUUACUUCUCAAAAAUAGAAAAAAGACGAAAUUGAAAAAGAACGCACAAUUGCUUUCGUAUUCUUGAUGUGUUUUACUGUUUUGCUGUUGAAUUUUUUUAGUUUUCCUUGUAUUCUUUUGGAAACUUAUCAUGCCAUUCUUUCUACCAGACGCUAGUAUUGUGGUUUCAUCAAAAUACAAGCAAGUCAGUAUGUGAUUGUUGCAAGAAUGUCAUUUUAAAUUGUAGCACUGAUCUUUGGGUUCAUAUUUCCAAUUGUUUUGUAUUUAUGAUUAGAUGCUUCAAGACAAGCAUAGGUCAGGUGUGGUAGCAUCUUCUCAAACUUAAAAAGAGUACAUAUUACUUUGAUCUAAUGAUUUAAGAAAGCAAAUUAUAUUCUAAAUUAGAUUUCAUGUGAUGACAAGCUGUUUCUAAGUUCUAUAUUAACAUUUUCCCUCAACUCUUCUUUGUUGUAGUUGACAGUUUUGAACACAGGAAUUAGCAUUGGGAAAGGGAACUUAAAGAACAAGAUAAGCAAUUUCCAUUUCAUGGUCAAGGAAAAUAGUGUUGAAUACUUCUAUCCUGGGAGUCGAAGUUAAGGGGCCAGACAAAUCCCUUUCUGGAGUGACUACAAAUUGAGGAGAACAGAAUCCUUACCGACAGUGCUGCAAAGAAAUUCCGUAUUCAUUUCGUGUUGGAGAUGUGUCUAGCAAUGACAAUUACAGGAGGACAGAUGAUAUCUUCCACCAAGAAAGAGAAAAACGCUGGGGGCUUGAAUGGCUGGAAUCUAUUGGUUUUCAUUUUUGUAACCAACUUAAAGAAAUGAAAUGGCAUAAGUCAACACUGGUGGACUUGCUGAAUUGCAGGUGUGUGACUGUUGAUCAGUCUCUGAUUUUAUUAGUUUCAUAGACAGCUACUGAACUGAACUAGAUUUGAAUGCAAAUCUGGAACUCUUUAAAAUCUGCGUAUCGUUAUUGAUUUCAUGGUAAUCUUCAUUUCGGAACUAUCAAGCAUUGAAGAGUUAUUGUUCGCUAAUCUUGAUGUUUUAUGCAUCUAAUGAAAAUU